rnacentral:snRNA from 1 species
GGAUAUAAGGGCAAUCUUACUGCAACAUCUGUUCCUUUAUUAUGUCUAAGGUCAGUUUGGCUAAUCUGAUUUGAUUAAGCAAGUGCUCCCUUUCUGCUUCAUUGUCCUGUGUACUCCCAAAACUCUGGGCUCAGUUGAAAAAGGAAACUUUCCCCAUUAGAAGAAUAUUGUGUUUUGAUCAGGGUGGACAUAACUGAAAAAGAUUGAAUAGAAUAAAUAUAAAAGACUAGAUUCUCUUGCUAGAGAGGAGAAUGAAAUGUGGUCCUAUUUUA